UAAGGUUUUGCCUUCCUUUCUCAUUACUGAU
rnacentral:piRNA from 1 species